AGGGGGAGAUCGUGGACUUGUACUUGCCUGCAAAAGCCCAGCCAAUCGCCAAGAUUAAUCCUUCCUUUUGUGCGCCUGAAAGAGCCUCCCACCACGCUGGUCCUCGGCUCCGCAGCGGCUAGAUGAUGGAGAAGCUGCGCCUGAAAACCUGAAGUAUUUCCCUUCAAGCAGCUGACCAGGAAAAAAAAAUUAAAGGGUUUUACUAUGUGGCUCUGGAACUCACUAUACAGAUGAUGAGGCUGGCCUCAAUUCCACAGAUAUACGUCUGCAUCUGCCUUCCAAGUGCUUGGGUCAAAGGCAUACACCACUGAACCUAACACAAAGCACCCACCUUUUAUUUUGAUGGGGUUUUGUAAAAUGGGAUCAUUUCUAGGACUCCAAAGAGCUAACGGUAGAGCUCUGCGCCCUG